rnacentral:lncRNA from 1 species
ACAAUGAGUGAGGCGGACCCGCCCGGCGCGCCACCCUCGCCCCAGGAUCCGCGCGGCCGGCGACGCGCCCUCCGGGCUCUUCCCGUCAGGAAGCGCGCGGCCCGGCGGGCGCUCGGGCUCGGCCAGAGCGCAUGGCCGGCCGACGCUCUCGAUAGCCAACACCCUCUUCUGAUCUCCAAGACUACCAGAUACACAUGUGGGCACAGACCUGCGUGAACAGAUGUGUACUGUUGACACUCCAUGCCAGUGACUCUGAGGCCUCAGACCCAUGGUACAAUUUGGCAAAGCUUACCCAUAUGGACCAGGCUCAAGAGGAAUGGCAGAGUUUUCAUUACUGAUCAGUAUGUGAAAAGAACUGACUUUGACUUCCUCCUCCUGGAGAUGUCCAGACUCCUACUGAAAUUAGCUACCUAGGAAUAAACAUGCUGAGUUCUAGGUUGCGAAAGUAGCAGAACUCCACCUGGCC